rnacentral:rRNA from 1 species
GACGAACGCUGGCGGCGUGCUUAACACAUGCAAGUCGAACGGAAAGGCCCUGCUUUUGUGGGGUGCUCGAGUGGCGAACGGGUGAGUAACACGUGAGUAACCUGCCCUUGACUUUGGGAUAACUUCAGGAAACUGGGGCUAAUACCGGAUAGGAGCUCCUGCUGCAUGGUGGGGGUUGGAAAGUUUCGGCGGUUGGGGAUGGACUCGCGGCUUAUCAGCUUGUUGGUGGGGUAGUGGCUUACCAAGGCUUUGACGGGUAGCCGGCCUGAGAGGGUGACCGGCGACAUUGGGACUGAGAUACGGACCAGACUCCUACGGGAGGCAGCAGUGGGGAAUAUUGCACAAUGGGCGGAAGCCUGAUGCAGCAACGCCGCGUGCGGGAUGACGGCCCUCGGGUUGUAAACCGCUUUCGCCUGUGACGAAGCGUGAGUGACGGUAAUGGGUAAAGAAGCACCGGCUAACUACGUG